rnacentral:rRNA from 1 species
UGAGGAAUAUUGGUCAAUGGGCGAGAGCCUGAACCAGCCAAGUAGCGUGCAGGAUGACGGCCCUAUGGGUUGUAAACUGCUUUUAUGUGGGGAUAAAGUGCGUGACGUGUCAUGCAUUGCAGGUACCACAUGAAUAAGGACCGGCUAAUUCCGUGCCAGCAGCCGCGGUAAUACGGAAGGUCCGGGCGUUAUCCGGAUUUAUUGGGUUUAAAGGGAGCGUAGGCUGUCCAUUAAGCGUGUUGUGAAAUUUACCGGCUCAACCGGUGGCUUGCAGCGCGAACUGGUCGACUUGAGUAUGCAGGAAGUAGGCGGAAUUCAUGGUGUAGCGGUGAAAUGCUUAGAUAUCAUGACGAACUCCGAUUGCGCAGGCAGCUUACUGUAGCAUAACUGACGCUGAUGCUCGAAAGUGCGGGUAUCAAACAGG